UAGGGAAUCUUCGGCAAUGGACGGAAGUCUGACCGAGCAACGCCGCGUGAGUGAAGAAGGUUUUCGGAUCGUAAAGCUCUGUUGUAAGAGAAGAACGAGUGUGAGAGUGGAAAGUUCACACUGUGACGGUAUCUUACCAGAAAGGGACGGCUAACUACGUGCCAGCAGCCGCGGUAAUACGUAGGUCCCGAGCGUUGUCCGGAUUUAUUGGGCGUAAAGCGAGCGCAGGCGGUUAGAUAAGUCUGAAGUUAAAGGCUGUGGCUUAACCAUAGUACGCUUUGGAAACUGUUUAACUUGAGUGCAAGAGGGGAGAGUGGAAUUCCAUGUGUAGCGGUGAAAUGCGUAGAUAUAUGGAGGAACACCGGUGGCGAAAGCGGCUCUCUGGCUUGUAACUGACGCUGAGGCUCGAAAGCGUGGGGAGCAAACAGGAUUAGAUACCCUGGUAGUCCACGCCGUAAACGAUGAGUGCUAAGUGUUGGUCUCAUAAGAGAUCAGUGCUGCAGCUAACGCAUUAAGCACUCCGCCUGGGGAGUACGACCGCAAGGUUG
rnacentral:rRNA from 1 species